GGCAUGGCGAGAGCUAUAAUGCAGUCGAGCGGACAGAUGGGAGCUUGCUCCCUGAUGUUAGCGGCGGACGGGUGAGUAACACGUGGGUAACCUGCCUGUAAGACUGGGAUAACUCCGGGAAACCGGGGCUAAUACCGGAUGGUUGUUUGAACCGCAUGGUUCAGACAUAAAAGGUGGCUUCGGCUACCACUUACAGAUGGACCCGCGGCGCAUUAGCUAGUUGGUGAGGUAACGGCUCACCAAGGCGACGAUGCGUAGCCGACCUGAGAGGGUGAUCGGCCACACUGGGACUGAGACACGGCCCAGACUCCUACGGGAGGCAGCAGUAGGGAAUCUUCCGCAAUGGACGAAAGUCUGACGGAGCAACGCCGCGUGAGUGAUGAAGGUUUUCGGAUCGUAAAGCUCUGUUGUUAGGGAAGAACAAGUGCCGUUCAAAUAGGGCGGCACCUUGACGGUACCUAACCAGAAAGCCACGGCUAACUACGUGCCAGCAGCCGCGGUAAUACGUAGGUGGCAAGCGUUGUCCGGAAUUAUUGGGCGUAAAGGGCUCGCAGGCGGUUUCUUAAGUCUGAUGUGAAAGCCCCCGGCUCAACCGGGGAGGGUCAUUGGAAACUGGGGAACUUGAGUGCAGAAGAGGAGAGUGGAAUUCCACGUGUAGCGGUGAAAUGCGUAGAGAUGUGGAGGAACACCAGUGGCGAAGGCGACUCUCUGGUCUGUAACUGACGCUGAGGAGCGAAAGCGUGGGGAGCGAACAGGAUUAGAUACCCUGGUAGUCCACGCCGUAAACGAUGAGUGCUAAGUGUUAGGGGGUUUCCGCCCCUUAGUGCUGCAGCUAACGCAUUAAGCACUCCGCCUGGGGAGUACGGUCGGCAAGACUGAAACUCAAAUGAAUUGACGGGGGCCCGCACAUUCGGUGCAGCAUGUGCGUGUAAAUUCGAAGCAACGCGAGGAAUCAUUACCAGGUGCUUG
rnacentral:rRNA from 2 species